rnacentral:miRNA from 21 species
CUCGCUACUUUGGUCUCUCUCC